UACGAGUGCCUCAAGCGUUAUCCGGAAUCAUUGGGCGUAAAGGAUGUGUAGGUGGUCUUGUUAGUCUCUUGUUAAAUUCUUCGGCUCAACCGGGGGCAUGCAAGGGAAACGGCAAGACUCGAGGAUGCAAGGGGUUACUGGAACUCUAGGUGUAGCGGUGAAAUGCGUUGAUAUCUAGGGGAACACCAAAAGCGAAGGCAGCAGACUGGUCCACUCCUGACGCUGAAACACGAAAGCGUGGGUCGCGAAUGGGAUUAGAUACCCUGGUAGU
rnacentral:rRNA from 1 species